rnacentral:tRNA from 1 species
GGGGUAGCAUAAUAAGGAAUAAUGCGUUCCACAUGUAUUUGUGGAAAGAUGCGGGUUCGAUUCCCGCCUCCCCCA